rnacentral:rRNA from 1 species
UACGGAGGGAGCUAGCGUUGUUCGGAAUUACUGGGCGUAAAGCGCGCGUAGGCGGUAUAUCAAGUCAGGGGUGAAAUCCCGGGGCUCAACCCCGGAACUGCCCUUGAAACUGGUAAACUAGAAUCUUGGAGAGGCGAGUGGAAUUCCGAGUGUAGAGGUGAAAUUCGUAGAUAUUCGGAAGAACACCAGUGGCGAAGGCGACUCGCUGGACAAGUAUUGACGCUGAGGUGCGAAAGCGUGGGGAGCAAACAGG